rnacentral:rRNA from 1 species
CCUACGGGUGGCAGCAGUGGGGAAUAUUGCACAAUGGGGGCAACCCUGAUGCAGCGACGCCGCGUGAGUGAAGAAGUAUCUCGGUACGUAAAGCUCUAUCAGCAGGGAAGAAAAUGACGGUACCUGACUAAGAAACCCCGGCUAACUACGUGCCAGCGGCCGCGGUAAUACGUAGGGGGCAAGCGUUAUCCGGAUUUACUGGGUUUAAAGGGAGCGUAGACGGCAGGACAAGUCUGGUGUGAAAUCCCGGGGCUUAACCCCGGAACUGCAUUGGAAACUGUGCGGCUGGAGUGCCGGAGGGGCAGGCGGAAUUCCUAGUGUAGCGGUGAAAUGCGUAGAUAUUAGGAGGAACACCGGUGGCGAAGGCGGCUUACUGGACUGUAACUGACGUUGAGGCUCGAAAGCGUGGGGAGCAAACAGGAUUAGAUACCCUUGUAGUC